GCCGUAUUUCUGACCCAGAUCAUGCAAUCAUUUCUGAUUCGAAUUAAGUCCGAAUUGGUUGAGCGUUUUUGGUCAUGGCUCAUUAAAGGGGUCUGGGUCAAAACCGAUCUCGAGCGGUAAUGCCAUUGUACUUCGUUACAAAACGCUGACAACGCCGGAUCGAAAAUGUUUUGGGAUCUGCUCGGUGGAAUUUUCGAGUUUCUUUUCGGGCUCUUGUUUCCUAGUUCCGGUAGUGGGGAUGAGCCAGACUCCGAGGAGGUCGAAACCACUUGAUGGGUCUACAUAUAAGUUAAUAUAUUUAUCUUUCAUGUUUUUGCUUUAUUACAUCUACGUAAAAUGUGUAUGUUUAACAUAAAUAGCUUCAAUAGCUACUA